rnacentral:rRNA from 1 species
UACGUAGGGUGCGAGCGUUAAUCGGAAUUACUGGGCGUAAAGCGUGCGCAGGCGGUUAUGUAAGACAGAUGUGAAAUCCCCGGGCUCAACCUGGGAACUGCAUCAGUGACUGCAUAGCUGGAGUGCGGCAGAGGGGGAUGGAAUUCCGCGUGUAGCAGUGAAAUGCGUAGAUAUGCGGAGGAACACCGAUGGCGAAGGCAAUCCCCUGGGCCUGCACUGACGCUCAUGCACGAAAGCGUGGGGAGCAAACAGG